rnacentral:rRNA from 1 species
CGCGUAGGCGGUUUGUUUAGUUAGGCGUGAAAUUCCUGGGCUUAACCUGGGGACUGCGCUUAAUACAGGCAGACUUGAGUUCGGAAGAGGGUCGUGGAAUUCCCAGUGUAGAGGUGAAAUUCGUAGAUAUUGGGAAGAACACCGGUGGCGAAGGCGGCGACCUGGUCCGAUACUGACGCUGAGGUGCGAAAGCGUGGGGAGCAAACA